CUCUCACAUAUUAAGGGUUUUGUACAUCAGAUUCCAGUGCCUUUGUUUUUUCAUACAACUUAGAACAUCAUUAAGCUUCAUUUUCUGCUCCAUGGCUCCUGUGUUUCCCUCAGUAGUGUAAAUCCAGGUGAACAGAGUUCAACUUUCUAAUCUGUACAGUACAGCAUUUACCCACUUUGUAUGAGCACAAACAGUGAGAGUUCACUUUCUUGUUUGCCGCAGUAAACUGACCUUAUACUUCCUCUUAAAUGAACAUGUUGUCUGUAUAAUUGAGUUUAGGUAAAAAGAAAACCGAGGCUAAGCCUUUCAGCAUUCCACUCAGCAUAAACUCUUCCUGCACUCAGUGAUGAGACCUCUGAAGCAGAAGUUGACUCCGAUGUGCACAGCAUCAGACAAUUGGCUCAGAAAUAAGAACAGCUAUAAGAACAUAUGGAAUUAGUCAGCUUGCAUCAGUCAAGAGCCACUGACUCAGAUUCCUUCUGGAUUCAGCCUGUGAUGAGGACAACCCCAGAGGCUCAGCUACCACAGGGAUUAUGCUGUCUGGUAGUGGCAAUGAACUCUAAGGAGUGAGACAAUAAGAAAGAGAGGGAAGUUUUAUUUUGUCCUUUUCCCCAGGGUCCCUGAGAUGUGCGUGACACUUUGAAUCCCACAAGUUCAAAAAACGAAGACCUGGUCACCUUCAUAAGCAUUAUAUGUCAACAGAAGAAUUCUACAAGGGUAUCAUAAAUAAGCAGACAUCCAGUUCUCUGUAUUUCUUAUCCUUAUUUCUGGGUAUGUUGGACCAUGUGUUUUUUUAGGAAUAUAUCGUAAGGGAAAAUACCAGAUUUCCUGACACACACAGAAAAUAAUGCUUAGACCUUUGAAGGAGGUAGAGUUAAAAACAGUUUCUAAGUGCCAUCUUUAUGUUAAUUCAUUACCAUAGUAAAAACAAUGCUUCACUAAUUCAUAGCUUUCUCCCUUUAUGACUCCAAAAUUGGAGACCAAGAUUUAGUUUUCUGUACUAAUCACAGAUGGGUUGAAAGUAUUUCCUGCAUCAGGCAUCCUUUGCUUCCCCAUGCAUGUGAAAAAUACUUCAGCAAUCAGGGCCUCCCCAUAAGGGCAACUCUAUUCUCCUGGUGAAGUUCACCCUCUGUGUGUCUCUACAGAGACAUAUUGAAAGCUACAUUUUAUUUUAUUUUAUUUUAUUUUAUUUUCUGUAGCUUUUAGUUCUCUUCUUGGAGUUUUCUGGAUACCUUAUUAUCCCAUAUUUGCAGAUAUGAGGCAUUCAGCUGGUGUGAAUCUUCUCGAAUAGGCUCUCUUAAUCUCCUGAUUGUCCUUUAUCUUAAUUUGAUGCUCCCUGCCAUGUCUGCCUGUGCCCAGACAAGGCCUCUGUGCUGUUGUUAGUAAAACGGAUUAAGAUCAGUCAUCCUAAAGGCAGAAAAUAUUUGGUUCUACUUUUGCAUUCCUUAAUUCCACAGAUUCUUCUGUGCCCAGGAAUCAGAGAGCUGCCCAAUAUUAUUCUGUUUACAGGCUUUUCCUUGUAAGUAUUUCUGCCAUUCUAUCUUAGGGAUUGGGUUGAAGUUCCCUCUGC
rnacentral:lncRNA from 1 species